CAAAGGCUUGGUCCCGGCUUUACUGUCAGCUUUAACCCGGAUUAUACAUGCAAGUAUCCGCACCCCUGUGAGGAUGCCCUCGGCGCUCCACCCGAGAACGAGGGGCCGGUAUCAGGCACGCACCGCAGCCCAUGACGCCUUGCUAUGCCACUCCCCCAAGGGAAUUCAGCAGUGAUUAACAUUAAGCUAUAAGUGAAAACUUGACUUAGCUAGGGUUAGAUUUUAGGGCCGGUAAAACUCGUGCCAGCCACCGCGGUUACACGAGAGGCUCCAGUUGACAGUCACGGCGUAAAGAGUGAUUAAGGCGAAUCUUGAACUAAGGCCGAAGACCCCCUCAGCCGUUAUACGCGUUUUGGAGGUGUUAAGCUCACCCACGAAAGUGGCUUUACCAUGAACCACCUGACUUCACGAUAGCCGAGAAACAAACUGGGAUUAGAUACCCCACUAUGCUCAGCCGUAAACUUAGAUGCUAACCUACCCUAGCAUCCGCCUGGGAACUACGAGCAAUAGCUUGAAACCCAAAGGACUUGGCGGCGCCUCAGACCCACCUAGAGGAGCCUGUUCUAGAACCGAUAAUCCCCGUUAAACCUCACCACCCCUUGUUCCCUCCGUCUAUAUACCACCGUCGCCAGCUUACCCCGUGAGGGCCUUGUAGUAAGCAAAAUGGGCACAGCCCAGAACGUCAGGUCGAGGUGUAGCGCACGGGGUGGGAAGAGAUGGGCUACAUUUUCUAAUACAGAACAUACGGACAGUGCUCUGAAAUGAGACACUUGAAGGUGGAUUUAGCAGUAAAAAGAAAGCAGAGUGUUCUUUUGAAUUUGGCUCUGAGGCGUGCACACACCGCCCGUCACCCUCCCCUCUAGGACCUAUACAUUGAACCCUAACACUAACCCCGGUCCAACUUCAUAUAGGGGAGGCAAGUCGUAACAAGGUAAGUGUACCGGAAGGUGCACUUGGACUAAC
rnacentral:ncRNA from 1 species